rnacentral:rRNA from 1 species
UACGUAGGGUGCGAGCGUUGUCCGGAAUUAUUGGGCGUAAAGAGCUCGUAGGCGGUCUGUCGUGUCUGCUGUGAAAACCCGAGGCUCAACCUCGGGCCUGCAGUGGGUACGGGCAGACUAGAGUGCGGUAGGGGAGAAUGGAAUUCCUGGUGUAGCGGUGGAAUGCGCAGAUAUCAGGAGGAACACCGAUGGCGAAGGCAGUUCUCUGGGCCGUAACUGGACGCUGAGGAGCGAAAAGCGUGGGGAGCGAACAGG